rnacentral:rRNA from 1 species
GACGAACCGUGCGAACGUUAUUCGGAAUCACUGGGCUUAAAGCGCGUGUAGGCGGGUCGGCACGUCGGUCGCUGAAAUCCCCCGGCUCAACCGGGGAAGGGCGCCGAUACGACCGACCUGGAGGAACGUAGGGGAGGCUGGAACUUCCGGUGGAGCGGUGAAAUGCGUUGAGAUCGGAAAGAACACCAACGGCGAAAGCACUCUGCUGGGCCGACACUGACACUGAGAGACGAAAGCUAGGGGAGCAAAUGGG